AAUCAACGCUGGCGGCGCGCCUAACACAUGCAAGUCGAACGAGAAAGUGGAGCAAUCCAUGAGUACAGUGGCGUACGGGUGAGUAACACGUGGGUGAUCUACCUCUUAGUGAGGAAUAACCCUGGGAAACCGGGGCUAAUACCGCAUAAGCCUGAGAAGGGAAAGUCGAAAGACGCUGAGAGAGGAGCCCGCGGCCGAUUAGCUAGUUGGUGGGGUAAGAGCCCACCAAGGCAGAGAUCGGUAGCCGGCCUGAGAGGGCACACGGCCACACUGGCACUGAAACACGGGCCAGACUCCUACGGGAGGCAGCAGUGGGGAAUCUUGCACAAUGGGGGAAACCCUGAUGCAGCGACGCCGCGUGAGCGAUGAAGCCCUUCGGGGUGUAAAGCUCUUUCGGCAGGGAAGAUAGUGACGGUACCUGCAGAAGCAGCUGCGGCUAACUACGUGCCAGCAGCCGCGGUAAUACGUAGGCAGCAAGCGUUGUUCGGAGUUACUGGGCGUAAAGGGUGUGUAGGCGGUUCCUUAAGUUUGCCGUGAAAUCUCCCGGCUUAACCGGGAGGGUGCGGUGAAUACUGAGGGACUAGAGUACGGGAGAGGAAAGUGGAAUUCCUGGUGUAGCGGUGAAAUGCGUAGAUAUCAGGAGGAACACCGGUGGUGUAGACGGCUUUCUGGACCGUAACUGACGCUGAGACACGAAAGCGUGGGUAGCAAACAGGAUUAGAUACCCUGGUCGUCCACGCCCUAAACGAUGCAUAUUUGGUGUGGGCAGUUCAUUCUGUCUGUGCCGGAGCUAACGCGUUAAAUAUGCCGCCUGGGGAGUACAGUCGCAAGGCUG
rnacentral:rRNA from 1 species